rnacentral:rRNA from 1 species
AUACAUGGCCAUGUGGCGCAUUGAUUACACCUGAUCCCUCGAUCUCUGAAGUUAAGCAAUGCGACGGUCCGGACAGUUCUUGGUUGGGAGUCCCCCAACCAAGGACGACCAGAUAGCCGUAGCCG